AGAGUUUGAUCCUGGCUCAGAUUGAACGCUGGCGGAAUGCUUUACACAUGCAAGUCGAACGGCAGCACGGGGGCAACCCUGGUGGCGAGUGGCGAACGGGUGAGUAAUACAUCGGAACGUGCCCAUGUCGUGGGGGAUAACGUAGCGAAAGCUACGCUAAUACCGCAUACGAUCUACGGAUGAAAGCGGGGGAUCGCAAGACCUCGCGCGAUUGGAGCGGCCGAUGGCAGAUUAGGUAGUUGGUGGGGUAAAGGCUCACCAAGCCAACGAUCUGUAGCUGGUCUGAGAGGACGACCAGCCACACUGGGACUGAGACACGGCCCAGACUCCUACGGGAGGCAGCAGUGGGGAAUUUUGGACAAUGGGCGAAAGCCUGAUCCAGCCAUUCCGCGUGCAGGAUGAAGGCCCUCGGGUUGUAAACUGCUUUUGGACGGAACGAAAAGCCUUUUUCUAAUACAGAAGGGUCAUGACGGUACCGUCAGAAUAAGCACCGGCUAACUACGUGCCAGCAGCCGCGGUAAUACGUAGGGUGCAAGCGUUAAUCGGAAUUACUGGGCGUAAAGCGUGCGCAGGCGGUUAUGUAAGACAGAUGUGAAAUCCCCGGGCUCAACCUGGGAACUGCAUUUGUGACUGCAUAGCUAGAGUACGGUAGAGGGGGAUGGAAUUCCGCGUGUAGCAGUGAAA
rnacentral:rRNA from 1 species